UCAAAAUAAUUAGUAAACGUUACGAUUAUUAUUAUGAUUAUUAUAUUUUACAAAAUUAAAAAUAAAUUAGAAAAUAAAAACUAAAUCUAACCCAUUUUGACCCAUCAUUUUCUCCCAUUACCCCACUCACCAGUCUUACACUACAAACGCGCCCUCCCACGAAAAACAAGCAGUAACACUCCCCACACACCUAUAUACAUACUAUUAUUACACAACAAAGGAAAAUCAACAAAAAAUAUACAUCCACACACGUACAACAUAAGAAAAAAAGACAAAAACACAAAAAAGAAGAAGAAAAGAAAACAUAAAGAGACACAACAACACACUCACAGAAAAGAGAAAAAAAGUCACCUCAUUUUUCUAUAUUCUUCCUAUCAUAAUUAAGCAACACUUUGGUAUUUUUCUUCCUUCUUCAUUACUACUUUCCUAUAAAUAGAACACAUAUAUCAUUACAUACAAUCUACAAAAGAUUUGUGGGUGUUCUAAUUGAGCUUCGAUUAAGAUUUUGCGGUACUUAUUUUCUUUAUUUUGAGGUUAUGAGCCUAGAUCAUUGUAAUCACUCUUUCUUCUGUUUUGCGUCUGAGACUUACUGCGAAGAGUUGUGAGGUAUCUGCUUAUCAUCUCAGUAGAUACCUUUUACUCUUUUGUUAUGUUCUUAUUCUGUUCUAGAAAAAGACAUUCAGACUUGUACUUCUUUUAAUCUAAUGUAAUACUUAGAGGUUUGUACACAUAACAAUUAGACUUUGAGGUUAUAUUUGAGCUAUAUUAUAUUAUUCAUGUUGUUGAAAAUAUGUUAGUUUUUUAUUCUGA